UCCUCCCCUGGGCAGCCUCCACUGAUGCAGAGACAGAGCAAGAGAUAUGUGUCCUACCUGAACUCCAAUACAAAGACAUUCUGAGCCUCAGGGCCCUGAGGCUCUCCCAUGCUAAUAAGGGAGGAGUGGAGUAAGACUCUAUGACGCAGUGUAAUAUUGUGAUUAUAUAAAUAGAUCGCCUUCACACUACAACAGAGAGGUCACACUGAGGAUUGUGUUAUUGAUCGUACCCAAUUUACCAACUAGCCGAACAUUUGUUGAAGACCGUUUAUUCGCCACGGACACAAGACGUGUUACGGUUCUCAGUUCUCUAACUAACCUGGGGAUGUCCUUUCCGAUGGAUCGCACGAGGUCUCCCUAAAUGAACGUUUUGAGUUAUUCAUUGCUUCCUUUUUACAGCACAUGACGUCUGUGGAUCACAUGAAGGAGGACAAGUGAAAAGAAAGUCCAGGAUGGCCAGAUCAAAGGAAAGAACGGAGGGAGAGAUGGAGGAGAAGGUGACAAGUGACAGCGAAGAGGGAGGGGAAGAUUACUACAGAACAGAAGGAGAACGGAUGAAGAAAGCAAAAGCCGGCAUUGUGGCAAGAUUAUCAGCAAGAGAGGAGAAAACAGAGAGGAGUAAGGUGGUGAUGGACAGAAAGGAACAGGAAAUGAAGGAGGUGAUGAUGAAGGAAAAGUGGGAGAAGUUACACGAACACAAAGAGAUGGGAUUGGAAGUGGUCAGAGAAGAGAAAGAGCAGUUACAGGAAGAGAAAGAGAGGAUUCAGAAGGAGAUGGAGAACAUUUUAAAAACGAGAAAAAGCAGAUUUGCGAGAGAACUGUGAUUUGAGGAGACCGAGUGCAGGUGGUGUCGUAAAGACAGCUGUUGGAGGAAGAGGAGCUCAGGGAGGAGAGGUUGGAGAUGAAGGAAGCUGGUGAGCACAUUGAGAAGGAGCUAAUGGAGAUGCUACUUGAAAAGGGGGAGAUGCUCAAGGAGAGAGAGAGAAGUUUAAAGAAAAGAGGAAGAUGGAGGAGAAAAAGAUGAAGGAAAGGAAGAUCAUUGACUUGGCACGUAUGUUUAUGAGUGAAGUGUUAAAGGCCAUCGGAAAACAAUGGGAAAAGAUAGAAAAAGAAAGGGGGCAAUUGAGGAGGGAGAAAGAAAGGAUGCUUAAAGAGAAGGAGACAAUAAAGGAGAUGAGCAAGGAGGAAGAGGGGCAAGAGGAGGAGAGGGCGAGGAGGAGAGUGAUACGAGUUAGUCAUCGCUCAUUCUACUGAACCGCAACAUUAAAAACAUGACUUACAGCAUUAAACAAACGCAGCAUGAAACUCCUUAACCUUCCACUAUUUUUGUUAACAUCCUUAAUAGCCAGCUCUAGUUCAAUGUUAAGUUAACAGUAGAUUCUUAUCAUGAAGAAAUACUACUUUAUUAUUGUGGACUGAACUACAGCCUGUUAGCUGCUCUCCCUGUUUUCUGGAUUACAAUGCUUCAGAGAUACAGUUGCCUGGAAUUUGAGGACUUCCAAUGGCGGCCUUUGUUAUUGGUUGAGGUGUGUAAAAGUGGUGACAGGCUGUACCAUAAGCUACAUUCCACAGAGUUACUGAAGAGAGAGGCUUGAGGACUCUGUGGCUGGUACAGUGUGGGUCAGGUGGGGUGAGGUUAGGGAGUACAUUGUAUUAAAUCACUGCUCUGAGUUGCCCUUAAUUAAGCGUAGAUCUAGAAUCAGUUUACGCUCCCUUAAUCCAGUAUAUGUUAGCACGUAUUACAGUGCACACGACUGACCUUAGAUCAGCAAAUGACUAUAGAGAGCAGUGUUAAGCAGGACUUAAGUGUUAGGAGUGGCACUUUUAUGUGGAUACUUCCUCCUACACCUUAAAAUAGAAAUGUUGCUUAUAGCCCAAUAAUUAUUCACAGUGUGGGUAUCCAGUUAUGUCUUCCCAAAAUGGGCGUCAACAUGUCUGCAGGCCAAUCACCCCAAUAGGAGGUUGAUGGUCAAAUUUAGGAAUGCUUAAAAUGUAUAUUUUCAGGCGAUGGAGUAUGUAGGCUAUACACUGAACAUUUGUUAUUUAGUGUAUCCAGUUGAAUGGAUGCAACACUUGCUUACAACUGAAAACGUUUGAGAUACGAAGCAAUCUAUUUUGAUCAUUUGUGUCUUGUGAGGCUCCGCUGUAAUACUGUAAUAUCUGCUGUAAUACAGCAAGAUUCCAGUGGUAUGUGGUACAUAUGUGUCACGCCCUGAUCUGUUUUCACCUGUCUUUGUGAUUGUUUCCACCCACCUCCAGGUGUCACCUGUUUUCCCCAUUUAUUUCCAGGGCAUUUAUUCCUGUGUUCUCUGUUUGCCCGUUGCCAGUUCGUCUUGUCAAAUCAACCAGCGUGUUUUUCCGUGCUCCUGGUUUUGACCUUGAGCCUGCCUGCCUCCCUGUACCGUUUGGAACUCUGACCUGGCUAAUGAACUUUUGCCUGUCCUCGACCUGCCUCUUGCCUGCCCCUUGUUGUUUAAUAAAUAUCAGAGACUCGA